rnacentral:lncRNA from 10 species
AAAAUGGGCUUCAGAGUCUGAUGGAUCUGGGUGACUGGGCAAGUUCUUUAGCUUGUCAAACCUUCAUUUCUCUAAUUUAUAACAUAAGGACAGUACCUUCUUCCUGUCAAGGUUGAGGCAAGCAUUAGUGAGAAACGUCUCAAGGCCUGGUUCACAGUUAAAGGUCAAAAAAGAGAGAAAACAUCACUGUUCUCUUCAGCAGAACUUUUGUCAGUGUGAUCGAGAAUUGUCUCAAGUGACAAGUGAGCUGACCAGGGGAACCCUGGGUGGCAGGUACUAUUGGCACCAUUUUCCAGAUAAAGAAAAUGAAGUUCUAAGCAGUCAAAUGACAUGUCAAGAUCACCCAACUGGGAAAAGGUGCUUUUACAUGAAAGAUGGUGAUUAGCUGAUCUUUUACCAGAAGGAGAAGAGAUAUGAAAGGCAAGAUUCAAGGAUCACACCAACUAGAGGAGACUACUGCCCUUCAUUGAUUGAUGUCCGGUGCCUGGAAAGCCAUGGUUUUAUGCAGUUUGUGGAUUUUUUAUUUUUUUUCUUUAUUUGAAAUGGGAAGGGAUCACAUUACAUCGAACAGAAACUGUUUUACCUUGCUUGCAAGGAGGUGGAGGCCUCCUUGCCCCCAAGUGUGGUGCCACUUCCGGGUUCCUUGAGCACUUCCAGGUUAUCAGCCCAGCUCUCCUCCAGUUUCUGGGGCUGCUGAAGAAGCUGUUGGGG